GGUGACAGCUGUUCUGGUGACCUGUAACACCAUCAGGAGCCACGAGGCUCACCUUCUCCUAUAUCCAAAUGUAACCUUCAUCAGUGCAGGUCGCUCCAGGGCAGCUCAUAGUGUUCCAAAUUCCUGCAGACAGGAAAGGUAAGGAGGUCCCCUCCUCCCUGUUGCCUUUGUCUUCUCAGGAGGCUUGAGCACUUAAGUCCCUGCAGAUUUCUCAACCUGCCUGAACUCUCUGCUAAUCCAGUGUUCCAGUACUCUCCUACGGUGAGGCGAGAGAAGACCAGAGAUGUUUGCAACUCUGAUCCAGUCUAACUGAACUUCCAGUGCUCAAACACAGAGAGUGGACAGAGAUUUUCGAGGCCUCUCCAUGAAUGCUGUCCAGAAUCAAGCUAUGGGGGAGUUCAGUGUGGGAGACGUGCAGGACCUUGGAUGGAGUCUGGGAUCUAGAGAAUGAAAUGUAUCUUCAUUAGGGCCAGAAGACACAUGAGGAGUGGCCUAGUAGAUACAGAAGACACAGUGUCAUGAUGUGGAGUCCAAGGCCAAGGGAGGUUACUGAGAAAUCCAAUGCCUGUAUGAGUGAAGCUGGACAUGAACAGUGUGGAUGGACGUGGUCCCUUUCACUUCAAGCUGCAGUGUUAUCACCAGCUGCUGCAGAAGCCCAUGUCCCAGUAGACUAUCCUCUGACAAGAAUAUUAUGCCUUUUAAGCUCAUAUGAUGAUUUCUCUGUCUCCAUAUAGGAGACCAGGCCAUAAAAGGUGCUACUGUCACUGAGGAGACCGUAAUGAGAGGACUGUGACAGUGGGAGGCGUCAUGCAAAAGUGAUGUGAGGCUCAGAUGCAUCUGGAAGCUUUAUGGUGCAACCCCUUCUUCCCUAUUCAGACCUUCAUUCUAUGCUGGAGUCUUCCUAGUGACAGUCCUGUCACCAAAUGACAACAACUUCUCCCUGAUCAAUCUUGAGACUAAAGAGGCUAGAGGAGGGCCUCUACAGAUCAGUCAGUGGGUGUCCCCUGACCACUGCCACUGCAUUUUCUAGGGAUUGUGUUCUAUGUGUGGGAUGUAUGAGAGAGCUGGUCUCCCAGCUCUUGGGAUGCAGCCUGUUCCUCAUUUCCUGGACUGUGCCUGCUCCAGUCUUCCUCUUGCAUCAUGGAAGCCAUUCUUCCAGUCACAGGCUUGACUUCAUUCUUACCCACAAGGGGGAAGGGUGAAGAUUGGCUCUGAGAUGUGACCCCAGCUUCUAGACUGUCUAUGUGAGGUGGUAUUAUCUGAUCUUUUCUCAGUUGCCAUUCUAUAGUCACAGUGAUGUGCAAGGCUCUAGCUAGGUGCUAGAUCCCAGGAUCAUUAAUAUCAUGGACAACCUGUGCCCAAGAAGCUAACACACUGACACAGUCCAGGACAUCCAGGAAUACGAAGGUGGUGAGAUCAAAAGCCCUCAGAGUGUUAGGUGUUGCAACAUGCAAAAAGCCUAAAUUCUACACUCCCCUUGUGCUGGUGAUGGGAAAGUCAGAAGAUGAAGAGGCUAUCCUGAUGGCCGGACAAUGUAGCAAUCCCAGAAACAAGAGGCCAUGCUCCUGCAUGUAGAUCCACCAUUCUUCACAUAUGCAUGUUGAGUUUCUAAGCAGAUGUCCCCAGCUAUGGUUCUGACCUUCAGAAAAGCAGUCAAAGGUCAUGAGGAUUUCUGACAGAAUCAACACAGGCUGAUGCCUGUAAACCAAAGUCCUUUCCUGUUUGGAGCUGCUGAGUGUAGUCUGAACUGUGAGUCUGGACCUGCUCUCUCAGUGAAGGCACAACUUCUUGAACUCUGACUCUGAACUGUAGUUGUGGCUAAUGCUGCUUAUGAUCCAAAAAUCUAAUUCAGCAGUGAAAAUAUAAGCUUCCAACCUCUAACCUGGAACAUUCUGUCUCAAAAAGGACAGUGUGUACACUUGAAUGGAAAGACCAGAUCCUGGUGCUUUCCCACAAGAAGUUGCUGAAUGUGGCUACCUGGAAGGACAACCAAAGAGGGCUGCCAGAGAGGAGGCCACUACCAAUUAGUCAAGCAACCUCAUCUGCAUCAUCACAAGCAUCUGUAGUAUGGAGGUCUGGUAAACACGGUGUGGGCCUCUUCCUUCCCUGGAUGCCACCAUCAAGUGAGAUAUAGGUCGUUCACAUCACUGUGUGGACCUAGAAUUCCUCUGCAGGUCCUUUUACAGGAGUGGAGUCCUUCCCUCCAAGAGAGGUUAGCAACUGGUCAGACAUUCAGGCCAUUUUCUUUCUGCUAGCCUGUGCUUCUUUGAGUAGGUCCAAUUCAGUGCUACUAGGUAUGUAUAAUGCUUACAGACCUUACCCUAAUUUAUAGAGAUGGUAUGGGUAUUGAGAGCAUGUAACCUUGGAAAGCAUUUUAAAUUAGUUACAUAUGUUCUCACUUAUGACCUGUUUGCUGUCUCCUCUGUCUGUCUCUUCUGCUUCUCUGUUUCUAUAUCUCUCUGUUACUCCAGCUUUGUCUCUGUCUCUGCAUUUGUUUCUGACUUUCUCAUGUUCUCUAUCUCUCUUCCUCUCUGCCUCUUCGCUUCUCUCUCUUCUCUCCCUCUCCCUAUCUCAACCCUCUCUCUCUCCCUCUCUCUGUCUCUCUCUCUCUGUGAUAUCAUGUAUAUUUUCUGGGUAGCUUGUGGAUGUCAGAGGAUAACUCUAUUGAGGUAUUUCUCAAACCCUUAAAGGACCCAGAGAUUUAACUCUAGCUACUAUUCUUGGAAAAGUUUUAUAGGUGUAAGAACAUGAAGGAUCUGAGGCUGUGCCAGUCCAUGCUGGAGAAGUACCUGACUGGACUGAGGAGUAGAAACCUCGGCCACGGACCAUGAAUGUGCUGUUCUCCUUCCCUGGAUGACAGUCAGAACAAUGGAAUCUUCUCUGUCCUUCAGAAUUUUCUUGGUUGUUGAUUUGGGGAUCCUCAAUCUCUCAACUUAGUUCCCUAAUGUCAAGUAGUAUUGAAUAUUAGCAUCCUACUUUAUUUGCCCCUGUUAUUUCUGUCUACCUUUAUUUUGCCAGAACUUUGUAUGGCUAUGACAGUACGUUUGUAUCACUUUAGGAUUGGCAAGGCCACAUCAGGGUAACCAGAGCCCUUUCACAGGAUAGUCUUCUUGUAACACUAAUCUUGACUCAGUGGUGAGAGAGAACUUAAAACUCAGAGCAUGACCUGCCCCAGUGUGGUUCCUGAGCCUGGGAACUCAAAGCUCAACAGUCCAACCUUCUUCGUUUAUUCUGGGUUUGGACUUUUUGCAGUCUUUUCAUGUCAGUGUCAACAACUACUUCGGUAGUAGCUGGAAGUCCAGAAAUCACGGGGUGGGCGUUUCUUGAAUGAUCUUGACCCAUGUUGGGUCUUCUAACUUCUGUCUCCACAUUCAACAUUAAAUAUACCAUAUCUCUCCAAAGGUCAUGCCUGUUCCAGUAUCCUGAACUCAGUGAGGAGGUUGGAUCAAGUGUCAAAGGAAUGAAGGUCAAGCUCUGGAUUUUAUCAGAGAGUCUGAGCAAGACCACUGAUGUUCUGGGAAAAACUUGACUUUUCAGUGGGAUCUUCAUCUGCUGUACAUAACCAACAACCUCUGCUGUGAUGAAAACCAGGUAGACAGAGAGUCCACAGCAGGAAAUGGGUCCGAGGUCUAACAACUUAAUGCUUCCAAUUCUGUCUUCUAGGGAACGCUAACAAAUCUGCAUACUGCUAUAUUCCAGAGGAUGAUAAAAGGUGCUGCAGUUGGCAUGACUGCUGACAAGAGACACUCAGAGGUUCACUUCAAAUUCAAUAUUCAGAUUGUCUUCAUGGUCUUUCCUUAGUCUCCCCUUAGAGACAGAACUGAAAUUCACCCUGGACCACAUCUUUUACAUGCAGCCCCUUUGUAGGGAGGAGAACAAAGACCUGGAGAUGUCAUGCUGUUCACCUGUACAAACAGUGCAGAGGAGCAGGCAACCAACACCAGACCUUCUGGGUGCUAGGACCCUGUCACUAUCCAAGGGCUAUCUAGGAUGACUCUGUACAGGCGGUAUGGCAGAAGUUAAUUCUUUCCAAAAGAGCCUGACUGACAUAGUAAAGAGGGCUCCCACAACCUCCCUCUCGCAGUCUCCAUCAACUCUUGCAUGUCUCCUUGGCAACCACUUCAGAGAGUUUGUGAUUCUCCUGACAGGAGAGCUCCAGCAAAAUCUCGGACUUCAGUCUCAUGAUACUGAAGAGACUGUUCUAGCUGAUGAGGCCGGGCUUAGAAGAUGGACUACAGCCAAGAACCCUGGCCACCAUAACGACAAGUCACACCUUUAGGGAACACUUGAAAAGCACUUAUGCACAGUAGAAAAGUACAAGGAUUAAAGUCUCCUCAGGCAUUCCAGCAUAGAGAGAGUCUGACAGACUCAGGUCAGAGGUUACCUCCAAAUAAUAGAAGAGGAAGAAGGUCCUGCUUGACAGAAGAAGCCUGUGGCUGAGGCCAUUGCAACAAGGACUAUGACUGUGAAACUUGUUUCUCCGUGGAUACCGGUUUCAGAAAUCUUGUGCCCAGGUACCCACAGUCCUCCUCACAUACCUCAUUUUAUAGAACUUUGCAAGUCCUGACAUUCUGUCAUGUGCUUUGUUAUCCCACAUAGGGUAACAAAGAUUUUUACCCAUUUAAGAGUCUGGAAAUAGGCUGGACCCACUGUUGACAUUAAAGGUGC
rnacentral:lncRNA from 1 species